rnacentral:ncRNA from 1 species
UGUCUCCUCCACCUCUGUCGAUGGUGGAUUGGGCCCGGUGCGCAAGCGCCGGGCCUUUUUUC